UCAUGAAAAUAAAAAUGUCUACUUUUAG
rnacentral:sRNA from 1 species